GCGGAAACCCUUCCCGCCAUUUACACAGUCCGCUUUCUCUUCGUUUCAUUUCCAAAGACACUCCAAAUUCCGUUCCUCUCUCUCUCGUCCAUGUUCGAUCGAGGGAGAAAGUUGACGAAGCAACGGCGGAGAUGCUGAAUUCGAAGCCCUUCGCCGGAGGCAGCGUGUUCGUGUCCUGCAAUCUUGUUUCUCAAGAGAUAUUUGAUGCUCUGAAGCAGAAUGGGGCUGACGUCUUCAUCUGUUGCGAUCCUUCUCGAAACGGGGGAAAAGUUCGAGGAUCUUUGCGCGAAGGUGUGCAAUUUUUUAGAAUUGAAUUUCUGCUAUUGGGAGGGUCCUCAGUGCGUGCUUUCAUGUGCAGAAGAGUACAGACCGCUUCCUCAACAGGAUUUUACUUGUUACCUUGCUAUGGAUGGUGUGAAAAUUCUGGCAUCCGGUUUUCAGGCGGAUGAAAAGCUACGUUGCUAAUGUUCCUAUUUCCCCCCUUUUUAUAGAAGUUUGUUUCUAAAUUAUAAUACAAAUUUGCAGGUUUAGUUAGGGAAGUUAGUUACUGCAAUGGGAGGAGUAUUGCAUACAAAAGCAUCUCUAGAUUCACCUUCAUCGUCGUGAAGAAUGUCUUGGCUGCAAAAUAUAAGACAGCUGAAAUUGUUGAAUGGAUAAAUCAAAAGGGGGAGGGGAGAUUGUUGAGGACCACAAGAGAAACGACAUCAAAAUCUUCUGUAGUAACUUUACAUGUUCCUGAUGUUGCUGCUGCAAUUGAGAACUUGUUGGAGCAGACAAGAGCUGAAAGAAAAGAAGACGUUAGAAUCCUAAUACUGGAGAUGGGAGCGCAGGCAUAUAUUAUGGUUUUAGUGAAACACAAACCGAGUCUCAGGUUGUGGGUUAUGAAGAGGAUUUGUCGGGAAUGCAAAUACUUAUAGACAGAGUUCGAACCUGGAGUAGCAUGACUUAAACCUACAUCUACCCUUGUAAAAUACGUAAAGCCUUAAAAGAUGGUGGUAGGACUAUGAGCCGCACUGUGAAGGUUUGAUUAGAGAUUGAUAUAAGACUUAAAUAUGCGAAGAUAUAAAAUACGCGUGUUGGUACGCUAGAGAAUUAAAUGUCAAGAAAAUAGGUUUGAUUAAUUUAAUAAGACGCAAUGUGCGUUUAAAAAAUUAGUCAUCAAGAAAGUAAACAAGAUUAGUGGAAAAACUGCCUCCAAAAAAUAUCUUGGGCAAAAAAAGUCCUGCACUGUUUCGAUGAUUAAAAAAAACACAUAUUUUCUAGAUUUUGUUUUUAGAAAUCAAGGUAUAUUCAUUUUUGGGUUUUAAAAAAAAUAAAAAAGUUUCUUAAAAUGUAGUUUCAUGAACUCGGUAAUUACAUGAAUUCAUCAGAUAAAUACAUAGUGUAUGUAUAUAUGUCUAUUUAUUUAUUUAUGUAGGGAGGGAAUUUGAACUCUGAUCUUUGGAUUUAAGAUUAUAGGCUCAAUUUGACAUUUAUAUCUUUAAUUUAUAUAUUAUAUGCAUUUAACAAAUAACAAAAACUAUUCACUCUUUUUAGUACGAAAUAUAAUAUUGAAAACAAUAUUAAAUAUUGGUCCUUCG